rnacentral:rRNA from 1 species
CGCCUGCCCAGUGAACAAUUUAACGGCCGCGGUACCCUAACCGUGCAAAGGUAGCACAAUCACUUGUCUAUUAAUUGUAGACCUGUAUGAAAGGCAAAACGAGGGCCUAUCUGUCUCUUGUAGUAAAUCAAUUAAACUGAUCUCCCAGUCCAAAAGCUGGGAUGCCAACAUAAGACCAGAAGACCCUGUGAAGCUUAAACUAAACUAUUAAAUCCUAUAAUAGCUCCUUUCGGUUGGGGCGACCCUGGAAAAAAAAAGAACUUCCAAACAUACUGACCUUACAGUCACCUACCCUAGGCCAACAAGCCUAACAACGACCCAGCACAGCUGAUAAUUGAACCAAGUUACUCCAGGGAUAACAGCGCUAUCUUCUUCAAGAGCCCAUAUCAAAAAGAAGGUUUACGACCUCGAUGUUGGAUCAGGACAUCCUAAUGGUGCAGCCGCUAUUAAGGGUUCGUUUGUUCAACGAUUAACAGUCCUACGUGAUCUG